GACGAACGCUGGCGGCGUGCUUAACACAUGCAAGUCGAACGGAAAGGCCCUGCUUGCAGGGUGCUCGAGUGGCGAACGGGUGAGUAACACGUGGGUGAUCUGCCCCUUACUUUGGGAUAAGCCUGGGGAACUGGGUCUAAUACUGGAUAGGACCAUGCUGUAGGUGGUGUGGUGGAAAGAUUAGUUUCGGUAAGGGAUGAGCUCGCGGCCUAUCAGCUUGUUGGUGGGGUAAUGGCCUACCAAGGCGUCGACGGGUAGCCGGCCUGAGAGGGUGGACGGCCACAUUGGGACUGAGAUACGGCCCAGACUCCUACGGGAGGCAGCAGUGGGGAAUAUUGCACAAUGGGCGCAAGCCUGAUGCAGCGACGCCGCGUGGGGGAUGACGGCCUUCGGGUUGUAAACUCCUUUCAGCCAUGACGAAGCCCUUGUGGUGACGGUAGUGGUAGAAGAAGCACCGGCUAACUACGUG
rnacentral:rRNA from 1 species